AAUGGGCGCAAGCCUGAUCCAGCAAUGCCGCGUGCAGGAAGAAGGCCUUCGGGUUGUAAACUGCUUUUGUCAGGGAAGAAAUCCUCUAGGUUAAUACCCUUGGGGGGAUGACGGUACCUGAAGAAUAAGCACCGGCUAACUACGUGCCAGCAGCCGCGGUAAUACGUAGGGUGCAAGCGUUAAUCGGAAUUACUGGGCGUAAAGCGUGCGCAGGCGGCUUUGCAAGACAGAUGUGAAAUCCCCGGGCUCAACCUGGGAACUGCAUUUGUGACUGCAAGGCUAGAGUACGGUAGAGGGGGAUGGAAUUCCGCGUGUAGCAGUGAAAUGCGUAGAUAUGCGGAGGAACACCAAUGGCGAAGGCAAUCCCCUGGACCUGUACUGACGCUCAUGCACGAAAGCGUGGGGAGCAAA
rnacentral:rRNA from 1 species